rnacentral:rRNA from 1 species
UAAUACGAAGGGUGCUAGCGUUGUUCGGAAUCACUGGGCGUAAAGCGCGCGUAGGCGGCUUGACAAGUCAGAGGUGAAAGCCUGGAGCUUAACUCCAGAAUUGCCUUUGAAACUGUCAAGCUUGAGUGUCGGAGGGGAUAGCGGAAUUCCUAAUGUAGAGGUGAAAUUCGUAGAUAUUAGGAGGAACACCGGUGGCGAAGGCGGCUAUCUGGACGACAACUGACGCUGAGGCGCGAAAGCGUGGGGAUCAAACAGG